AUUUGGCGGACGGGUGAGUAAUGCCUAGGAAUCUGCCUGGUAGUGGGGGAUAACGUUCCGAAAGGAACGCUAAUACCGCGUACGUCCUACGGGAGAAAGCAGGGGACCUUCGGGCCUUGCGCUAUCAGAUGAGCCUAGGUCGGAUUAGCUAGUUGGUGAGGUAAUGGCUCACCAAGGCGACGAUCCGUAACUGGUCUGAGAGGAUGAUCAGUCACACUGGAACUGAGACACGGUCCAGACUCCUACGGGAGGCAGCAGUGGGGAAUAUUGGACAAUGGGCGAAAGCCUGAUCCAGCCAUGCCGCGUGUGUGAAGAAGGUCUUCGGAUUGUAAAGCACUUUAAGUUGGGAGGAAGGGCAUUAACCUAAUACGUUAGUGUUUUGACGUUACCGACAGAAUAAGCACCGGCUAACUCUGUGCCAGCAGCCGCGGUAAUAGAG
rnacentral:rRNA from 1 species